UACGGAGGGGGCUAGCGUUGUUCGGAAUUACUGGGCGUAAAGCGCACGUAGGCGGCUUUGUAAGUUAGAGGUGAAAGCCCAGGGCUUAACCCUGGAAUUGCCUUUAAGACUGCAUCGCUAGAAUCGUGGAGAGGUAAGUGGAAUUCCGAGUGUAGAGGUGAAAUUCGUAGAUAUUCGGAAGAACACCAGUGGCGAAGACGACUUACUGGACACGUAUUGACGCUGAGGUGCGAAAGCGUGGGGAGCAAACAGG
rnacentral:rRNA from 1 species